rnacentral:rRNA from 1 species
GUCAGCUCGUGUCGUGAGAUGUUGGGUUAAGUCCCGUAACGAGCGCAACCCUUGUCCUUAUUUGCCAUCAUUUAGUUGGGCACUCUAGGGAGACUGCCGGUGACAAACCGGAGGAAGGUGGGGACGACGUCAAGUCAUCAUGGCCCUUACGACCUGGGCUACACACGUGCUACAAUGGAGCGUACAAAGGGCUGCGAUCUCGCGAGAGUCAGCUAAUCCCAUAAAACGCUUCGUAGUCCGGAUCGCAGUCUGCAACUCGACUGCGUGAAGUCGGAAUCGCUAGUAAUCGUAGAUCAGAAUGCUACGGUGAAUACGUUCCCGGGCCUUGUACACACCGCCCGUCACACCAUGGGAGUUGGAUCUACCCGAAGAUUGUGAGCUAACUUCGGAGGCAGCAAGCCACGGUAGGUUCAGCGACUGGGGUGAAGUCGAAACAAGGUAGCCGUAGGGGAACCUGCGGCUGG